rnacentral:rRNA from 1 species
CCUAGGAGGCUGCAGUCGAGGAUCUUCGGCAAUGGGCGCAAGCCUGACCGAGCGACGCCGCGUGCGGGAUGAAGGCCUUCGGGUUGUAAACCGCUGUCAGGGGGGAUGAAAUCAUGGUGGGUACUCCCAUCAUGUUGACAGAGCCCCAGAGGAAGCGCGGGCUAAGUUCGUGCCAGCAGCCGCGGUAAUACGAACUGCGCGAACGUUAUUCGGAAUCACGGGGCUUACAGGGUGCGUGGGUGGCAGGUAAGAAAUGCCUUGGCUCAACCAAGGCAAAGCGCUCUAAACUACUUUGCUUGAGUGAGUCAGGGGUGCACGGAACUUCCGGUGGAGCGGUGAAAUGUGUUGAUAUCGGAAGGAACACCGGCGGCGAAAGCGGUGCACUGGGGCUUAACUGACACUGAGGCACGAAAGCCAGGGGAGCGAACGGGAUUAGAUACCCUAGUAGUC